rnacentral:lncRNA from 1 species
CAUCUGAAUAUAAGUAAAUGCCUUUUACUGAAAAACAAUACUCAGUACACUGUUGAUUAGUACCUCAGACUGAACAUAAUUGUACUGCAUGCUGCUGACCAUGAUUAUUGUUAGCACCAGUAAUGCACCAAUUAU